rnacentral:rRNA from 1 species
GACGAACGCUGGCGGCGUGCUUAACACAUGCAAGUCGAACGGUAAGGCCCUUCGGGGUACACGAGUGGCGAACGGGUGAGUAACACGUGGGUGAUCUGCCCUGCACUUCGGGAUAAGCCUGGGAAACUGGGUCUAAUACCGGAUAGGACCACUGCCUGCAUGGGUGGUGGUGGAAAGCUUUUGCGGUGUGGGAUGGGCCCGCGGCCUAUCAGCUUGUUGGUGGGGGGAUGGCCUACCAAGGCGACGACGGGUAGCCGGCCUGAGAGGGUGACCGGCCAAACUGGGACUGCGAUACGGCACAGGCUCCUACGGGAGGCAGCAGUGGGGAAUAUUGCACAAUGGGCGCAAGCCUGAUGCAGCGACGCCGCGUGAGGGAUGACGGCCUUCGGGUUGUAAACCUCUUUCAGCACCGACGAAGCGCAAGUGACGGUAGGUGCAGAAGAAGGACCGGCCAACUACGUGCCAGCCGCCGCCGUAA